UAGAUAUUUGAAGACACAGGCCAGAAAAUACGAUAAAAGUUACAGCUCUGCUCAUCCACCAUGUUUCACAUUUUCCAUCUUCUGCCUCCACCAGUGAGUGCAAUCAUCAUUCUCAGACGUAUCCCCUCAACAUAUCCCCUCACCUGCAGCGCUUCUCACAGUGUGCACAGGGUUAGCUGAUGUGUGAACAGCCAGCAUCCUGGGCAUCAAGGGAUGCCACCUUCCAAGGCCCUCCUGGUGCUGUAAGCAGCUUGUUGGGUUGGUUUUAGAAACCUGUGGGCCAUGCUUUCCCCACUCACAUAGCUGUACAAGACAUCUCCUGGCACCAAGCCCCAGCCCCAAGCAUUUCACAAUCAGAAGAGUUCAACACCUGCAUAUUUUGAGAUUUCAUGGCAUACGACCUUUUACAUUUUGUUCACAUUCGUCCAUCCUCUGUUUACCAUGGUAGGGCCCCAGUUGUAUCCCUGACAGAACAUUGCUCUGAAGGCCUAGAGAAGCUUUCUGCUCUUUAGAGUUCAAUACAAUAUCGUACAGUUUUCUGGUCUUUUCAAAGUACUUCACACAUAGGUAUUAUUGCCUUUGACUCACAACAGCUCCAUGACAGGACCCACUUAAUACCAAGGCUCAAAAAAACUAAUUGGCCAAGGCCACACAUUGCAUA